rnacentral:lncRNA from 1 species
UAGCAGUCUCCCCUGACCCUGGUGCUGGCCACCAGGGACACCAUGCUCCCCCAGGGACCUUUGAAAGAUUCACAAGCUGCUUCGAUGUCGUCUAAAGGAUCGAGCUGCGGGAAACAGACCACUUUUCAGGUAUUUCAGAGCUGUGAUAACAAAGGAUAUUUAAGGAAACCUGGAUUUCAAUUUAUCCUCAGAACUUUAAAGAAAGGACCCACAAUUCCCAGAAUCACAGCUUCCGAAACACUUCCUGGUUUUUCCUUUGCGUGGAUACAAAAUAAAAAUCAAAGCUACUUUGGAUGAUGUAAAAAAUGCCAUCUGUGUGACCAUGAGAGAGCAGCGUGAUCCAGAGCCAUCCUGGAGACUUCUAACCCAAGCUGAGGGGGGCUCGCGUGUUCAGAGCUCUCUCUUUUUGGAGACUAAGGAAAUUCUCCUCUUCCUGGACUGUGGGUAAUAACUUCUCUCUCCGUGCGCUAAACGCGGUCUAGACAGUGCCCACCAUGCUUGGGACGGCCAUUCUGUUGUGAGAAGAAGAGGUCACAAGGCUGUCCUCGACAGUAGUGUCUCUUUAAAAGAUGAGGUUUUCUGCUGAGGGCCAUUACCAAGUAGGAAUGACGCAUCGAAAUUUCCUUGCCAAGCGUACCCCAUGCUGCUUAGAGGACAUUCGAUGGGACAUUGCAUGCAUGCUUUAAUAAGGUGACCUUGCUCAAGGACCAAGGUGGAUCCGGGUUUAGAGCUGAUCAGGUUUGAGGAAGUAACCAGCUCCUUGAGUUUAAGGCGUUGCCAGUUUAGGAUAAUGGGUUUUAGGGAAGUUGGAAGUUGAAGAUUAUUGCUGGGAUUAGGGUGUUCCUGCUGCUUGUUCCCGUUGAGUUCUCGUGAGAUUAAAAUGGGAUUUGGAGAUAGCCUCGUGGAGUAGGUGAAUUGUGCGGGAGACGAGAACGCGAUUGCCCCUGGACCUGUGUGGAGGCGGUGUGAGAGCGGGAAUAAAG